ACGGGUGAGUAACACGUGGGUGAUCUGCCUCGCACUUCGGGAUAAGCCUGGGAAACUGGGUCUAAUACCGGAUAUGACUUCUGGUCGCAUGGCUGGGGGUGGAAAGAUUUAUCGGUGCGAGAUGGGCCCGCGGCCUAUCAGCUUGUUGGUGGGGUAAUGGCCUACCAAGGCGACGACGGGUAGCCGGCCUGAGAGGGCGACCGGCCACACUGGGACUGAGACACGGCCCAGACUCCUGCGGGAGGCAGCAGUGGGGAAUAUUGCACAAUGGGCGAAAGCCUGAUGCAGCGACGCCGCGUGAGGGAUGACGGCCUUCGGGUUGUAAACCUCUUUCGACAGGGACGAAGCGCAAGUGACGGUACCUGUAGAAGAAGCACCGGCCAACUACGUGCCAGCAGCCGCGGUAAUACGUAGGGUGCGAGCGUUGUCCGGAAUUACUGGGCGUAAAGAGCUUGUAGGCGGUUUGUCGCGUCGUCUGUGAAAACUCACAGCUCAACUGUGAGCUUGCAGGCGAUACGGGCAGACUUGAGUACUGCAGGGGAGACUGGAAUUCCUGGUGUAGCGGUGAAAUGCGCAGA
rnacentral:rRNA from 1 species